GGCUUUUGGCAACGGAUAUCUUAGCUCUUGCAUCGACGAAGAACGCAGCAAAAUGUGAUACUUGGUGCAGAAUCCUAUGAAUCAUCGAGUCUUUGAAUGCAAGUUGCACCCGAAGCCACUAGGCUAAGGGUAGGUCUGCCUGGGUGUCA